CUCAGGUGGUGAGGGGUUCAGGACUCUGGAGACCCUCUCAGGUGGUGAGGGGUUCAGGACUCUGGAGACCCUCUCAGGUGGUGAUGGGUUCAGGACUCUGGAGACCCUCUUAGGUGGUGAGGGGUUCAGGACUCUGGAGACCCUCUUAGGUGGUGAGGGGUUCAGGACUCUGGAGACCCUCUUAGGUGGUGAGGGGUUCAGGACUCUGGAGACCCUCUCAGGUGGUGAGGGGUUCAGGACUCUGGAGACCCUCUUAGGUGGUGAGG